UCUGUCUCUCUAAAUAAAAUUUAAAAAAAGAUUUUAUUAUCUUAUCCUGUACUCACCCUUCUUCUUGUGAUGAUGUGAGAUGAUCAAAUGCCUAUGUGAUGAAAUGAAGUGAUAUGAAUGACAUAGGAUAGGCCUUAUGACGGAGUGGUAGGCUAUUACUGACCUUCUGACAAUGGGUCAGAAAGAGGACCAUCUGCCUCCAGACCACAGCUGACUGCCAGUAACUGCAACCACUUUAUGCAGAGACAAUGGUACAUACAGCUCAUGACCAGUGCUUGCAAGAACAACAUCUUACUCAAUUACAAGGUGUGCUCUAUACGUUAUUACUACAGUUGUUGGUUGAUUUUACUUGGCCCACUUUGAAUGUCAGUUCAACAAAAACAUUUUUUCUAUGUAAGUACUGGGUGUACAGUGAUGGAUUUAACAAAUCUCUGCUUGUGUGGAGUUUAGAGUUUUGUGAGAUCAAUACCAUAUUUCACAAACUGUGUAUAUCUAACGCAGUCUUUUUGAAGUUUUUCUGUCACGAUAAUGUUCUUUAUAAUUUUUUUUCCUUUUCUAAUACAGAAUCCAAUCCAGGAUCACACACUGUAUUUAGUUGUCAUACUCCAGUUUCCAUAAUUGGGAACAGGUGUCCGGUGUUCCUUUGGCUUUUUUUUCCAAAGCGGUGCCCGUUUUGAUUUUUGCAGACUAUAGGCCAACUUGCCUUGAAAAUAUGUCUCGGUUUGUGAAAUACAGGUUUGUCUAACUCACCAUGUGCCGUGUUGGACAUGACUCAGAUUCACCUGGAACUCAGUGAAUGUCAAUUCAAGAACGACUUUUUAAAAACACCAGAUGGGAUCUCUGACUUUGUUGGAGGACAGAAGGAUAUGGUUUCAAUGUGCUUGUAUACUAAACAAGUUAACAUACCCUUUCAAAUCUCUAUUUAGAAAACUGCAGUUUUUGGCAAAAGGCAAGAAAUACAUUUCUUAAAAGAUUUUAUUUAUUUAUUCAUGAAAGACACAGAGAGAGAGAGAGAGAGAGAGAGAGAGACAGGCAGAGGGAGAAGCAGGCUCCAUGCAGGGAGCCCGACAUGAGACUCGAUUCUGGGUCUCCAGAAUCAUGCCCUGGGCCAAAGGCAGGUGCCAAACUGCUGAGCCACCCAGGGAUCCCCCAAGGCAAGAAAUAUUAACAAAGUAUAAGACUUGGCAGCUCUCCUUAUAAUUCCUCUUUAUCUCAGCCACUGGGUUGUGAAGGGCCAAUGCUAUUUAUAACUACAGCUUGUUUCCAACUAAUUUCUACUCACCUUCAGUUGCACUUCCUCUUUUGGCAAAACAAGGGUGAAGUUUGCACAAUUCUUUUCAGUUGAAUUCUGGUCAGUAAGGCACGUGAGGUCUAUUAUGUCUAACUUGUCAACAUACUACAAAGGUAAAGGAAAUCUCAUUAAAUUAUUUCAGGGGUAACAUACAUUAGGUAGCAGGCGGAAAUAUAAGUAAUCUCUUCCUCUCAACUGAUUUAUACCUUGAAUGAUAUCCUGGUUUUCAACUGGGCAUUGCAACCCUUUAAAUCCAGAGGGCAUUUGGAAAAUGUAUUAUGUGGUGGUCCACUGGACCUGACUCUUACAGGUUUGCAAAAGCUGAUUUUUUUAAUGUCUAGGAAUUUUGCAAGCCAGCAACUACACACAGCCAUUAUUAAAAAUUAAAUUAUAUAAACAUAUAAUUAUUUUUAAAAUAUACUUAAAAUUCAAAACUCAGUAUUUUCUAAUUAUAUUACUAAAGUGUAUUCACUAUGCUCUCGAGGUAAUUUACAUCUUCAUUUCUGUUUGUACUGUACCUUCCCAAUUCAGCAAGGUCACAUUGAUAGGUUGAAAUCAGCUAUGGUGGGAGUAUUUACAUCAUGGAAAUUGGCAAACCUCACAAAUUAGGGCUUGAUUUACUUUAAAAUUGUUAAUAAUUUUUAACAAUUGUUAAAACUUUUUACAAUUACUUUACAAUUGUCAGUUGUCCUAGAGGCCAGCAAUUUAUUUUUUUCUGCAAAGGCUAGAUAGUAAAUGCUUCUGGCUUUGUGGACCACACAGGGUCUCUGUUGCAAAUUCUUGUUGUUGUUGUUGUUGUUGUUAUUUUAAUACACACUUUAAAAAUGUCAAAAAAAUAUUUUUAGCUGAUAGACUGUACAAAAUCAGGCCACAGGCAAAAUUUGACUCAAGGGCCACAGUUUGCUGGACUCUGAUUGAGACAUAAGAAAGUAAAGGAGAAAAUGUUAAUAAUACAGAUGAAAUUUUAAAGUCUGUUUUGUCUGAAACUUUUUCAUUGUUAACAGAACAAAAGAUUGACAAAAUAUUCUUCAUUAAUUCAAAAACUCUUGUUACUCCACAAAGAUCUUGCCCCAUCAUUGAAAAAUAGGUGAAGUUCUGAUAUGCAUAAGUAUUGCUUUGCUUUCCUCUUAUUCAUUGAUGUAAACAAAAAUAUCAGCCAAUAUUUGUGUGAAAUGUCAUAUUUAAUGACAAUACAUUUAUUAGGGAAAUGGCAGAUUGGACAACUCCAUUUAUCAAAUCAUGAUUGAACUGCAAACAUAGUUGCCUGUGGAUCCGAGUUCAGAAAAAUCAGUGAAAAUAGUCUGUGAGAAUCAUUUGCUUAUAUGGAAAUUACAAUAAAGAAUAUUGUGUAUUCUAUUUUUUUAACUGUGUGCUACACAUUCCUUAUAUCAGUCAUGUUUAUAAUAAACUUAUGUACAUAUAUUCAUACAUAUAAUUCUUUCCAGAAUGCCGUUGUUUGAUGCUUAUUAUGUGCCACUGGUUAUGAGGAUCCUAUUAAGAAAUUCCUAUCUUAUCCCAGUACAAUAAAAAUAUUUCUUCUGAACGAUUGUUAUAUAUGGACUGGUCUGUACUCAACUGACCAGACUUGCUUUUUAGUAUUAGAUCAGAACCACCUCCAGUAACUGUAGUAGAGUUUUCAUCAUAAUUUUUUUUCCUGAAUUAGCCUCAUUCUUGACUUCUUUUUAUUUUCCUCUGUUUUGCCCAAUAUAACUUAUUUUUGCCAUGUUAUUUUAUGUCUCCUUAUUUUAUUUUUCUGAAUAAAGUAAGGCAUAAAAAUAAGUAAAUUUUUUUCCAGACUGAUUCCUAUAUUGAUGAAGUUGAGGGCAAUUUGGGUUGACCUAUUUAUUUUCAAUGAAGAAAGAGCAGUUAAAAAUGGAAGGAAAAGUAUAAGAGAAGCAGGACAGAAUUUCAAAUUACACAGAAUCUUUUUCUGAUAGAUUGUCUAGAUCAAGCUAAGUGAAUUUUACUGAGACAAAGAAGGAAGCAACAGAGGAAGAGGUGGCCAAAUUAGAUAGCCAUAAACUGAUCUAUUGAUUAGAAGAAAGGAAGUUAUAUCUUUUUUUUUUUUUUAAUUUUAGUGCUGAAAAGAGCCUUAAAGGUCAUCUGUUUAAUCUACUGCCAUCUGAUGUUUGAAUCUCCUUCAGAGUAUCCCCCCAUAUAGCCAUCCUGUCUGUACUGGAGUAUCUCAAACAACAUGAAACUCAUGCCUGCUAUGCCACGCUGCCUGCUAUGCUCUGUACCAGAAGACAGACCGAGGAGGACAACAUCAAGGACCCUCUCACCCUCUGACUUCCCAUUGGGUUGGACUCUGGUCAGAAGACCGAGGAGGGUCUGGACAUGUAAUAAUGAUGUGCUAAGAACUGUGGGCUACUACAUCCAUGGACCAAAAUGUUUAUAUUUAAACAAGUGACUAGAUCAUAAUAUCCCCUAUGGGCAUAGCAAGGUAGGCAAGCAUUUGGCAUGAAAAUACAUUUUAUUUGUGGAAAAAACUGAAAUACACAGUUGUCAAUGUUUGUGGGAAGUUGAAAUAUAAGUCAAUUAUUUGAGAUGAAUACUAAUAAAUAAAUCUCAGAAUCUAUUGUUAUUCUCAUGCUUAAGCUCUUAGAAGUCCUUUUUUACUUAUGUUUUUGUCUCCCUAUAGGAAAAUCAAAUUGUGACAUAUUUUAUAUUACAAGGCCUUGGGGGUCAUCUAUUUCCUUUCAGAUCAUAACUGCAUGCUACAACAAGAUAAAAAGAUGGGGGGAAAUUAAGGCUAUUUCAUGGCUUUAAACAAGUUGUAUCCAGGUAUCUGGCUAAAAUUUUCAGAUUUUGGGGUGCCUCGGUGGCUCAGUUGGCUAAGCUUCUGCCUUCAGCUCAGGUCAUGAUCUCAGAGCCCUGGGCUCCCUGCUCAGCGAGAGGUCUGCUUCUCCCUCUCACUCUGCCCCUUCCCCUGCUUGUGCCCUCUCUUUCUCUUUCUCUCUCCCUCCCUCUCAAAUAAAUGAAUAAAUAAAAUCUUCAAAGAAAUAAAAUUUUCACAUUUCAGCUAAGCUUCUAUUAUUGGGAUCAGAAAGAAAAAACGCAAAGACAUGAGUUUAUGCCUUCUCUUAGGUGCCAUGGAAAUUUUACUGUGAAUCUUAUAGGUCUUAUAGCUGAUAGCCCCCACAGACAUAAUGUUCUUAUUUGAAUUACUUUGACUAGAAUAUCUUUACUCUCGGAAGACAGAAAACCCCAAAUGAAUAAAACUAUUGACAAGUCUAUAUUAGGAAAAAAUGAAUCAGCUGAAUAUGUUUAACUACUUACUUUUGGGCUUUUUUUGUCAGAAUAAAAGAAAAGCGUAGUUCCUCUCAACUCUGUCCAAUAAUGUUUAUAUUCCUGUGGGAAAUAAAUUAUAAGCAUUAUUUCAUUGGUCUAAAUUCAACUAGUUUCCUAUUAAUAUUUUUCCUUAUAACUUUCUUAAUUGCUGUUGGAUAUAAGGUUCCUUUUUUUUAAAAUUUUUUUUAUUUAUUUAUGAUAGUCACACAGAGAGAGAGAGAGGCAGAGACACAGGCAGAGGGAGAAGCAGGCUCCAUGCACCGGGAGCCCGACGUGGGAUUCGAUCCCGGGUCUCUAGGAUCGCGCCCUGGGCCAAAGGCAGGCGCUAAACCGCUGCGCCACCCAGGGAUCCCAAGAUUCCUUUUUAUCUUGAGAUAAAUCACCUAAUUUUACGGCUUAAUUUUGCAUCUAACUCGAUCACAUCCUUCACAAAUUUAUCUUAGUAUAAGGUGAGAGGUAAGGAUGUAAUUUGAUUUGUGUUUAAAUAGAUAAUUUUUCUAAACUUUCCCCAUUGAUUUAAGAUACUUGACUUUUUUGUAGGUUUCAGUGGAAGCUUGCACCUGUAAGAGGGCUCAUUUAAGGGACCAGGAUAGGACAAGCAUUAAAUAUCUACAUUGAAUGGCUUGGUGAAUGUAAAGCACUUAGCAGUGUACAUGGCUCAUAGUUUCAGUUCUAGAAACAGUAUAUGUUUAUAUAAAUAAAGGCAAUGUGAACAGUUCAUAGUCAUAAAAAUAAUUUCACAUCAUCAGAGCUAAACUUUGAAGUCUGAAUUUCAUUCAUGUGGUGAACAUUUCAUUAUUGCUGCAUUAUUAUGGGGCUAUGGAAAUACAACUCUUUAGUUUAAAAAAUUUAAAUAACCUAGUCUCAUUUCACUCAAGCGAAAGUUUAUUUAAAUGAGAGGAAAUUACAUUUUAUAUGAAGACUGGCUCUAUUACUGAAGAAUGGCAAAGGGGUUUUGAGAAUAAAAUCCUUCCACAUCUAUAGACCUUCAUAACCAGCUGUUUCCAAAAGUAUGUUUUUUAAAAAUUCCAGUUUCAUAGACAUGUUGGUCAUUCCUUCCUUUAGGGUUUAAUAAGCUCAAUUUUUAUGCCAUGUUGGAUUAUCUUGACUUAUAUUAAGGCUUAAUAAAAGAGAAUUACAUGACUUCUUUUGCUUAUGAAAUGUGAAGACACUUUUAUAUAUUAUGGUAUUUUGUGUCUCUUUAAAUGCUGACAUAUCGUUUGUCCUUUUUUUUGACCAGCAAAAUAAAAUGUUUGUCACCUCUUCAGAAUUUAUAUAUUUCUUUUCUCAAAUAAUGGCAAUUCUAUAACCCAUCUUGUUUUUAUUUGUCUUGGCUUCCCGGAAGCUCAAGAUUAAAUUCAUUUUGAAUUACAACAACCAUC